rnacentral:rRNA from 1 species
CGUAGGAGGCAAGCGUUAUCCGGAGUUACUGGGCGUAAAGCGCGUGUAGGUGGGUUGGUAAGUUACUUAUAAAAGCCCCUGGCUAAACUGGGGGAGGUUGAGUGAUACUGCCAGUCUUGAAUAGAGGAGAGGUUGACGGAAUUCCGCGUGUAGUGGUGAAAUGCGUAGAGAUGCGGAAGAACACCAGUGGCGAAGGCGGUCAACUGGCCUCAUAUUGACACUCAGACGCGAAGGCAUGGGUAGUGAACGGGAUUAGAAACCCCGGUAGUCCAUGCAAUAAACGAUGCACACUGAAUGUUCGUUGUCCUACGGGGCAAUGAGUGUUGAAGCUAACGCGUUAAGUGUGCCGCCUGGGGAGUACGGUCGCAAGGCUA